rnacentral:rRNA from 1 species
CUGAAUAGGGCGAAUGAGUAUUUGGUCGUAGACCCGAAACCAGGUGAUCUACCCUUGGUCAGGUUGAAGUUCAGGUAACACUGAAUGGAGGACCGAACCGACUUACGUUGAAAAGUGAGCGGAUGAACUGAGGGUAGCGGAGAAAUUCCAAUCGAACUUGGAGAUAGCUGGUUCUCUCCGAAAUAGCUUUAGGGCUAGCCUCAAGUGAUGAUUAUUGGAGGUAGAGCACUGUUUGGACGAGGGGCCCCUCUCGGGUUACCGAAUUCAGACAAACUCCGAAUGCCAAAUAAUUUAACUUGGGAGUCAGAAUGUGGGUGAUAAGGUCCAUAUUCGAAAGGGAAACAGCCCAGACCACCAGCUAAGGUCCCAAAAUAUAUGUUAAGUGGAAAAGGAUGUGGCGUUGCCCAGACAACUAGGAUGUUGGCUUAGAAGCAGCCAUCAUUUAAAGAGUGCGUAAUAGCUCACUAGUCGAGUGACACUGCGCCGAAAAUGUACCGGGGCUAAACAUAUUACCGAAGCUGUGGAUUGUCCUUUGGACAAUGGUAGGAGAGCGUUCUAAGGGCGUUGAAGCAUGAUCGCAAGGACAUGUGGAGCGCUUAGAAGUGAGAAUGCCGGUGUGAGUAGCGAAAGACGGGUGAGAAUCCCGUCCACCGAUUGACUAAGGUUUCCAGAGGAAGGCUCGUCCGCUCUGGGUUAGUCGGGUCCUAAGCUGAGGCCGACAGGCGUAGGCGAUGGAUAACAGG